GGUUCUGUAAUGUAGUGGUUAUCAUAGUGGAUUUUGACUGCUCAAUUUUCCAUUAACCCCGGUUCGAAUCCGGGCAGAACCU
rnacentral:tRNA from 1 species